UUUAAUAGAGAUGGGAUUUCACUACGUUGGCCAGGCUGAUCUCAAACUCCUGACCUCAAGUGAUUUGCCUGUUUCUACCUCCCAAAGUGCUUAGGUUACAGACAUGAGCCACUGUGCCUGGCCUUGGUACCCUUUUGGCUCAACCAUAGAUUUUACUGUCUUAACCCAUUUUAAUUACUCUUUUGAGUCUCUGUCCUCCCUUCCAAUUUGAUUAGGGAUUUUGCUGAUGAGAUGAUAUUAAACAUCAAGAGUACUACUUUUUACUCUGACUUUUUUGUGCUGUCUUUAAUAGGCAAAUAGUAUAAUUUUUUUUUUUUACAAGGAAACACAUGAGAUGGAUGUCUUUCUUGUUACUUCUUAAUAGUUACUUAGUAUUUACAAGCAAUCCUUGUUUUCUUAAUUGUUAGCUAUGUUAAUUUUUAUUCUAUGCUUCACUUAUUCUGACAUUGACGUGUAGGUUUCUGCUGAUUUUUUUCAAAUCCACAAUCUUUAUAACAAACUGAAGUGUAUAAUAGAGCGCUAUAUUUUGUUUUUAUUUGUUUGUGUUCUUUUGGAUCAAAUAUUUUUUCAUUUGCUCUGAAAAAAUGUUUAUGUGAUUUGUCUUUUUUGCCUUGAGAUAGAUCUGUUUAUCCUGCCUCCUAGGGACAAGUUUCUGCCUGGAUUGAAACAGAAAAAAACCACAGGAGUCACAAGUAUGUUACCUAUUAAAAGAGAGAGGGUAUCUCUGAAGACUAAUUAAAAUGGUAAUUUUUUAAAAGAUGGGAGAAGUUGACUUUUAGUAUAUCACCCCAAGUAUUCUCACCAAAAUGAUAAUGCAAAACAGAGUAAUUUGGAGACCAGGAGAAAAGCGAGUAGUAGGAGAGGGGAAGAAGCAUGUGUGAUCAGGAUAAAUAAUGCUUAUUUGUCCUCAGCUGUAGGUAGAGGCGCCCUCACAGAUGAGCACGAACGGGUGUACUGUACUUUGAAGGAAGGCUUGCCAUUUCUAAGGUACCAUGGAGAAGUGUAAGAGAGCAAAACUGUCACUUCUGAAUCUUUGAUUCCAGCAGCAAAAAUGUUUUGCACAUAGUCGAAUACAGUGUUGAUAAAUGGAGGACAGCAUUAAAUCAUUUUUCUGUUAACAGUUUCCUCUUUCUUCUGCACCACCAACCUGUGUUUCAAGCCUCUCUGUUCCACAAAGCUUCCAAAGCCCACAAAUUUGUUAAUCUAGAGCAGGGAUCAGCAGACCACCACCCAUGUGCCAAAUCUGGCCUGCUACCUAUUUUUGUAUGGCCUACUAAGUUUGGUUUUUAUAUUUUUAAUGGUUUUAAAUAUUUUGUAUAAUAUAAAAAUUACAUGAAAUUAAACUUUAGUUUCUCUAAAUAAAGUUUUGGAAAGAGCUCCCAUUCUCAUUUGUUUUCAUGUCAUCUCUGACCACUUUUGUGCAUCAGAGUUGAAUAGCUGCAUCAGUGGUACCAUUUGGCCAGCAAGGCCAAAACUAUUACUGUCUGGCCCUUUAUGGAGAAAGUUUGCCUACCCCUUACCUCCUUUAUCUAAUGCAAUAUAUAAGUUCCAUCAACAAACAAGAAAUUGACUUGGUAACAUGAGAACCUAGAGCUGAAUGUUGAGGUACAGUAAUGAUACUUGCUCCAAACAUUUAUUGAGCACUGCUAAGGUACUUUACUCCAUUGUUUAUAAAGAAUCCAGUGAGGGAGAGAGGCAUUAUUUCCAAUGUACAGAUGGGAAAAUUGAGGUACAGAGUGGUUAACUUGCCCAAGUUUAAGUAGUGGUUGCUGCAGACUCUGGCUGUCUGACUUGAGCCACUGCCCUUUACACUUGUGCUUUGCUGCCUCCCCUUGUGGACUUUGGCUUGACCUGAUAUUUCAGAAACAAUUAGGUUGUCCUGGGUAGAAUAAACAUCUUCCUCCUCCAGUUUAAAUUAGACAUUUUCAAUGCGAUUGUACUAAAUGUUGCAAAUCAGGAGCUAAUUUGAUGUUCAUUCUUUGAAUGAAGCAUAUAAAAUACUGUUAACUUCUAAUUUAACCAGCUCUAAGGUGUUUUGGAGAUGGGGAUAAGUGGAGAAGGAGAAGGAUUUCUGCUUUAAAAUUUCCCCCGUGUUCUCGAGAGUUUAUAAUGACACAGAGGCUAAAGGGCUUAACCUUGACGGAUUGAGAGGUGAAAGUAACUUUCUGGAUUUCUUACCAAGUCUGGUAUAAAGGGGUGAUUCUUGAAGCUUUAAACUAGAUCUGCUUUUCUACUUGCAAAUGGGUGUUCACAAGAUAAAUUUCAUUAGAUUAUUUUAGGGUGAAUACUUCUCAAUCAUUGAGGAGCCACAAGGCAUGCCUCAUUUUAUUGCAUUUCUCUGUAUUGUGCUUUGCAGAUACUAAUUUUGUUUUCUUUUUUUUUUUUUUUUUUUUUNUUUUUUUUAACAGAUGGAAGGUUUGUGUUAGUCCUGCAUGGAGAAAGUCAUUUUCCCAACAUCAUGUACUCACUUUGUGUCUCUCACAUUUUGGUAAUUCUCCCUAUAUUUCAAACUUUUUGAUUAUUAUUAUCUUUCUUAUGGUGACUUAUAAUCAGUGACCUUUGAUGUUACUAUCAUGAUUGUUUUGGGGCACCACAAAGCACACCCAUGUAAGACAGUGAACAUAAUUGAUAAAUGUCUGUGUUUUCCCCAUCUCUCCCUCUCGAUGCCUUCCUAUUCCCUGAGGCACAAUAUUGAAAUUAGGCCAGUAAUAAGCCUACAGUGGCCUCUGCGUGUUCAAGUGACAGGAAGAGUCACAUGUCUUUAACUUUAAAUAAAAGACUAGAAAUUAUUAAGCAUAGUGAGGAAGGCAUGCCAAAAGCUAAGACGGGCUGAAAGCUAUGCCUCUUGAUCCAAAUUAGUUAGCUAAGUUGUAAAUCCAAAAGAAAAGUUAGUGAAGGAAAUUAAAAGUGCUACUCCAGUGAGCACACAAGUGAUAAGAAAGCAAAACAGCCUUAUUACUGAUACGGAGAAAGUUUUAGUGGCUUGGAUAAAAAAUCAAACCACCACGUUUGCUUAAGCCAAAGCCUAAUCUAGAGCAAGACUGUAACUGUCUCAUAUUCUGUGAAGAUUGAGGGAGGUGAGAAAGCUACAGAAGAAAAGUUGAAAGCCAGCAGAGAUUGGUUCAUGAAAUUUAAGGGAAGAAGCUGUCUCCAUAAAAUAAAAGUGCAAGGUGACGCAGCAAGUACUGAUGUAGAAGUUGUAGUAAGUUAUCUGGAAGAUCUAGCUAAGGUAAUUAAUGAAGGUGGCCACACCAGACAACAGGUUUUCAAUGUACAUGAAAUAGCCUUCUAUUAGAAGAAGAUAACAUCUAGGACUUUCUUAGACAGAAGUCAAUGCUUGGCUUCAAAGCGUCAAAGGCAGGCCGAUUAUUGUUAGGGGCUAAUGCAGCUGGUGACUUCAAGAUGAAGCCGGUGAUCAUUAACCAUUCUAAAAAUCCUAGGGCCCUUUUGCUGAAUCUAUCCUAUCUGUGCUCUGAAAAGGGAACAGCAAAGCCUGAAUGACAGUACAUCUGUUUACAACAUCAUUUACUGAAUAUUUGAAGCCUGCUGUUGGGACUUAAUGCUCAGAAAAAGAAAAUCUUUUCAAAAUACGAAUACUCAUUGACAAUGCAUCUGGUCACCUAGGAGCUCUGAUGGAGUUGUAUAAGGAGAGUAAUGUUGGUUUUAAUGCCUGCACAUCCAAUACUCAUUCUACAACCCAUGAUUAAGGAGUAGUUCUUGCUUUCAAAUCUUAUUCAAUAAAUAACAUUUCAUAAGGCUGUAGUGAUUCCUAGAAGUAGUGAUUCCUCUGAUGGAUCUCGGCAAAGUCAGUUGAAAACUUUCUGGAAAGGAUUCACCAUUCUGAAUGCCAUUGCAAGCAUUUGUGAUUCAUGAGAGAAGGUAAAAACAUCAACAUUUACAGAAAUUUGCAAGAAGUUGAUUUUAGUCCUCAUGGAUGACUUUUAGGGGCCUAAGACUUAAGUGGAGGAAGUCAUUGCUGAUGUGGUGGAAAGAGCAAGAGAACUAGAAGUGAAGAUGUGACUGAAUUGCUGCAACCUCAUGAUAAAACUUGAUGGAGGAGGAAUUGCUUCUUAUAAAAGCAAAGAAAGUAAUUUCUUGAGAGGGAAACUAUUCCUGGUGAAGAUGCUGUGAACAUUCUUGAAAUGACAGCAAAGGAUUUAGAAUAUUAGAUAAGCUUAAUUGAUAAACCAGUGGCAGGGGUUGAGAGGACUGAGACUAACUUUGAAAGAAGUUCUACCGUGGAUAGAAUGCUGCCAAACAGCAUGAUAAAGAGAAAUCUUUUGUGAAGGCAAGUAUCAGUUGUUGGAGCAAACUUCAUUGUUGCCUCAUUUUGAGAAACUGCCACAGCCACUCCAGUCUUCAUCAGCUACCACCCAGAUCACUCAGCAGCCCUCAACAUUGAGGCAAGAUCUUAUAUCAGCAAAAAGAUUAUGACUUGCUGAGCACUCGUGAUUGUUGGCUUUUUUUAGAAAUUUAAUUUUUAAAGUAUAUAUUUUUAGACAUAAUGCUUUUGCACACUUCAUAGACUAUUGUUUAAACAUAACUUUUAUAUGCACCGGGGAGCCAAAACAUUUGUGUGAGUUGCUUUAUUGUGAUACUCCCUUUAUUGCAGUGGUCUGGAACUGAACCUGCAGUAUCUCUGAGGUAUGCCUGUAUAUAGUGUGAUCACGAACAAGUUUAGAAUACAAGUCCUUUUUUUUUCCUAUUUAAUAGAGCAAAAGGACAAAACAGGAGAAAGUUUAUGAUUUUCUGCUUGCUAGUGCAGUGUGACACACCAUCACUAGUGAUGCCAGAUUAAUGGAAGGCAGAGGUUGAGCCUUCCCCUUCAAGUGUCCAUUCUUGCUUGCCCACUCUGCACGUUUGAACAUAGACCUGUUUUCCCACUGGAUUUAUUUUUCUCAGUGGGACCGUGAUUAUCACAGUCACAUGUGAUUGAAACCAUGAAACUCAUGGUCCCUCCUUCCCCCUUUUAGUAAUAUCCUUUAUUUUCCAGUUACUUUAUCCUCACCCCAGCCUCUGCUCCCAUCAUAGCUAUGCAGACUAUUGCUAAAAUUUAACCGACUUCUCUCUUGCUGUCUCUUAAAAAACCUUCCUAAAAUGUUGUUUUGCACACUGAUCUCAGAAACUCACAUUUCUCAUGGGAUAAAACUCAGCUCUCUGUUGGCAUAUAAGACCCAUUACAGUCUGAUUUCUAUCUUCCAAUUUUUAUAGUAGCCAUCUGCUCUGGGGUAAUAGUUAACUUUCCUCACUGUCAUUACUCGCAUUGCGUCACAUAUGCACUGUCUUACUUCUGACCCCAGGAAGUUAGCCCAUCAGUCUUACUCCCUUGAUUCUGUUUUGUUAAAGACCUGUUGUGAUUUCAGCCUUUUCCUUCCAAGAUGACCCGGACCUUUGGCAACAACUCCCUCUAUUGGUUCAUUGCACUUUUGUUAUACUCACUGGGCCCUUCAUUUGUGCUGCAGAGAUUCACAUUUACUGUGUUGUUUUUCUGUUUCCCCAACAAGAGUAAAUUAUUCAGGCACAGGUUCUUACAUGUAUCCCAAGAACCUAAGACACAAUGGAUGCUUAGUUAAAAAUAAUUAGUGCUGGUAAAAUAUGUCCUCUAAGGUUAGUUCCUGUUCUGAAAUUGCAAAAGAUAGCUUAAGUUCUGACUGCUAUGAUGAGUGAGUUGCUGCUUUGGAAGAGUUACAGAUAUGAGCCAUUUCCUUUUCUGUGACUGUGCACCAUAAAUAAAUCUUUAGAGGCUCUGCCUCAAGAGUAGAAAUGUUUAAUCCCUGUCUAUGCUUGACUUUCCCUCUAGGUGCCAGGAAAAGCAAACAGAUGUUAAGCUGGCCUUCCUGGUAGUUCAGUCUGUAUGUUGCGGAUUAAAAAAAAAAAAAUCUGCUAAGUUUAGAACCGAGAAAGUCACAAAGCCCUAAGUCCUUAAGCUGACUUGAGGAAACUUUCUGGGUAGGAAGCUUCUGCUUUGUCCUCUGUAUUCACUAUCGCCGUGGGGCAGCACUGCCAAGUGAGCUGGGAAGGUGAGUGGUGUCUUUGUUUUGUAGAAUGGAAGAAAUAGUGUGGAUGCCAUGGUUUUGCUUUUGUUAGAGGAAACUGUAUGAAAGCUCAGAAUUACCUUAAAUUCCAAAUUAAUUAGGCCAUCCUGUGAAAUUACCUUUGCUGAGGGAGCCUUUAGAAAGUUUCGGGGUACCCCCAGGGUUAGACAUAUCCCAUAUAAAGACCUUUAGUCCAAAGUGUUGAAAAUUUGUUUUCAUCGGUAAUAUUAUAAUGUGUGUGUGUGUGUGUGUGUGUGUGUGUGUGUGUGCGCGCGCGCACAUUUGAUAAGGUUCUUACUUAUACUUAGGACUUCCUUAGUGAGCACUGAUGAAAUGAGCUUAGUCUCUUGUAGUGGAGAGUGGAACACAAACCUGCCCCUGCCUCAUUAAUGUCAAGAAGCCUCUCCAUCAGCCCACGAGCACUGAGCCUUUUGAGUUUCCUUUGAUAAUGUCAGUAACACCUGGGUUGGCAUUAUUCUCACCUCAGUCUAGUGACUCAGUCCUGGGCCAUGCUGAAAUUGCAUGCAUACUAAGUAUAGUGUAAUGAGACAGUUUUCAGUGCAGACAGCUGAACCCCCAAUCACUUGCUCUGCUGAGUGUUUUGACGAUUACAUGGCACUUCUGCUAGCUUGCCUAAAAUUCCUAAAGAGUACAGUGAGGAUGCAAUGAGCAUGACUUUCGUUCAUUCUGUAUGUCUGUUGAGAAAAAUGUGGGAAUUCCAAGCAACAACUUAGUGAUGAUUCAGGAAAGACAGGUAAAAUAGAAAGAAACCUUAAGUUGUAAAAUUUAUGUUAAAUCCUACAUUCUGUACUAUAGGCAACUUCCUUGUAUUCUCCCAUUUAGUGAUUUGGUAGGAGAGUAGGAGGGGAAACUUAAAAAUUAGGUGUAUUGCAGAAUACCUGUUCUUUUCAUCAGCACGUGGAACAUUCUCUGGGGUUGACCAUAUGUUAGGACAAAAAACAAGUCCCAAGAACUUUUUAAAGAUCGAAAUCAUAUCAAGCAUCUUAUCUAACCACAAUGGAAUUAAACUAGACAUCAAUAACAAGGAACAUUAGAAACUAAACAAAUACGUGGAAAUUAAACAACAUGCUCCUGAAUGAUCAACGGGGGAGAGAAGAAAUUAAGAAUGAGAUUUAAAACUUCCUUGAAACAAAUGAAACAGAAACACAAUGUAGCAAAACCUAUGAGACACAGCAAAAACAGUAUUGAGAGGCAAGUUUACAGCAAUAGGUGGUGACGUCCAAAAACUAGAGAGAUUUAAAUGAUGGAGUUUCAUUAUUGUUGCUCAGGCUGUAGUGUAGUGGCAUGAUCUUGGCUCACUGGAACCUCCGCCUUUGGGCUCAGGCAAUUCUCUUGCCUCAGCCUCUCGAGUAGCUGGGACUAUGGGCAUGCACCACCACGCCCGGCUAAUUUUGUAUUUUUAGUAGAGAUGGGGUUUUGCCGUGUUGGCCAGGCUAGUCAAGAACUCCUAACCUUGGGUGAUCCACCUGCCUCAGCCUCCCAAAGUG